AAGGUAGCGCAAAAGAGGAAGGGCUUAGCGCGGAAUUAACCCUUUCAUACAAAGAAGUGCAGAUUUGUUUCCCUUUGAAACGGUGCCAUUUCACUUGCAAUUAAAAAACAAAAAAAAACAAUUGGAUUCUGCCAUUUUCUUUACUAAAGUAUAUACCAGACCCCCCUUUUUCUACUACCCUUCACCUUGGCUGACUCUUAGGCUUCACCGGCGCAUAAUACGCCUCCACCACCGCCGAGGCUUUCACCGGAUCCGCAAGGAUCCGUCGACUUCAGACCGGAGAAGCGGGCUUUGGCUAAAUCAACACUGAACGAACCGAAGCAGCCGAAGAAGAAGAAGCAUUAUACGAUGUUCGUUAAAGUUUUUAUAGGCAUAUUACAACUGUCUAUCUUCUAUUAUUUUUUCUUUCAUUGUCUGUUUCUGUGUUGUUUUCUUUUGUCUCUGUUGCGUGUUUCUUUUGCUUUGCAGGUGUCAGAGGGUUGGUGGUACGGGCGCCGAUCGGCGGUAGCAGGGGAGGUGGUAGCGUGUGGCGGCUGGCUUAGGUAGAUUUAGGGUUUCUGUUUGGCUUUAGUUCUUGGGCUAGGUGGGCUAGUUUUUGUUUGGGCUGUUGGUUUAAUUUGUUUUUGGGUGUAAUAGGGUGUAUUGGGUUUGGGUCUGGUAUUGGUUCAUUGGGCCCGGUCUAAUUUGGGCAUUUACAUCAACUAUUGACAUUUUGAUUUUUUUUUGUUA